GUUAUCACGGGAGACACACGGCGGGUGCUAACGUCCGUCGUGAAGAGGGAAACAACCCAGACCGCCAGCUAAGGUCCCAAAGUCAUGGUUAAGUGGGAAACGAUGUGGGAAGGCACAGACAGCCAGGAUGUUGGCUUAGAAGCAGCCAUCAUUUAAAGAAAGCGUAAUAGCUCACUGGUCGAGUCGGCCUGCGCGGAAGAUGUAACGGGGCUAAACCAUGCACCGAAGCUGCGGCAGCGACGCUUAUGCGUUGUUGGGUAGGGGAGCGUUCUGUAAGCCGUUGAAGGUGUGCUGUGAGGCAUGCUGGAGGUAUCAGAAGUGCGAAUGCUGACAUAAGUAACGAUAAAGCGGGUGAAAAGCCCGCUCGCCGGAAGACCAAGGGUUCCUGUCCAACGUUAAUCGGGGCAGGGUGAGUCGACCCCUAAGGCGAGGCCGAAAGGCGUAGUCGAUGGGAAACAGGUUAAUAUUCCUGUACUUGGUGUUACUGCGAAGGGGGGACGGAGAAGGCUAUGUUAGCCGGGCGACGGUUGUCCCGGUUUAAGCAUGUAGGCGGAACGAUUAGGUAAAUCCGGUCGUUUAUUAACGCUGAGGUGUGAUGACGAGGCACUACGGUGCUGAAGUAACAAAUGCCCUGCUUCCAGGAAAAGCCUCUAAGCAUCAGGUAACAUCAAAUCGUACCCCAAACCGACACAGGUGGUCAGGUAGAGAAUACCAAGGCGCUUGAGAGAACUCGGGUGAAGGAACUAGGCAAAAUGGUGCCGUAACUUCGGGAGAAGGCACGCUGAUAUGUAGGUGAAGCCCCUGCGGGUGGAGCUGAAAUCAGUCGAAGAUACCAGCUGGCUGCAACUGUUUAUUAAAAACACAGCACUGUGCAAACACGAAAGUGGACGUAUACGGUGUGACGCCUGCCCGGUGCCGGAAGGUUAAUUGAUGGGGUUAGCGGCAACGCGAAGCUCUUGAUCGAAGCCCCGGUAAACGGCGGCCGUAACUAUAACGGUCCUAAGGUAGCGAAAUUCCUUGUCGGGUAAGUUCCGACCUGCACGAAUGGCGUAAUGAUGGCCAGGCUGUCUCCACCCGAGACUCAGUGAAAUUGAACUCGCUGUGAAGAUGCAGUGUACCCGCGGCAAGACGGAAAGACCCCGUGAACCUUUACUAUAGCUUGACACUGAACACUGGUCCUUGAUGUGUAGGAUAGGUGGGAGGCUUUGAAGCGUGGACGCCAGUCUGCGUGGAGCCGACCUUGAAAUACCACCCUUUAAUGGCU
rnacentral:rRNA from 1 species